rnacentral:rRNA from 1 species
UUCCUACGGGAGGCAGCAGUGAGGAAUAUUGGUCAAUGGACGAGAGUCUGAACCAGCCAAGUCGCGUGAAGGAUGACUGCCCUGUGGGUUGUAAACUUCUUUUAUAAAGGAAUAAAACGAGGCACGUGUGCCUUUUUGCAUGUACUUUAUGAAUAAGGAUCGGCUAACUCCGUGCCAGCAGCCGCGGUAAUACGGAGGAUCCGAGCGUUAUCCGGAUUUAUUGGGUUUAAAGGGAGCGUAGAUGGGUUGUUAAGUCCGUUGUGAAAGUUUGCGGCUCAACCGUACAAUUGCAAUUGAUACUGUAG